UACCGAUUGAGAAAUCUCAUCAGCGAAUAUUGCAUCGAUUUAAUGAGAUGGAUUUCAAAGCUUACUUGGUGUACGUUACCUUUUCUGCCUGGACUUUGAGGUGAGGUGGUGAGAUGUCGAGGAAUAAUUCGACGCCCGAAUGCAUGAUGGAGGAAUGAAGCCGAAGAAGCAGGCAGCAGGCUGCAGAGGUUCCUGCGGUUGAGUGACGUGAUGCACGUCUAUAGUUAGAAUAAAUCGUAUCCAACUAUCCAUAGGUGAAGUGCAAAUUUUGUCGAGGAAUAAUUGGAACGUUGAUGCAGAUUUACCUCCAGGAUGAAUUUUUCGAACGGGUGUAAAUAUUGGAGAAUGGAGAUCACGUUGACAGAAGAGAACGCGAUCGUCACGAUUUUCGUGUAAAUUGGAUUAGAAACUAUGAAUAGUUUUAAUAAUAUCAUUGCAAUUGUAACCUCCAAUUUUGGCCAUUUUUUGCUCAUCGUUGUUGUUUUUUUAUCGCAGAUAAGUAUUGGAGCUUUUUAAAAAAAUAUUUAAGUACCUGUAUGAUUGUUGUUGUAUUUGUAUGUCCACGAUGUAUGUAUGUAGAUUAUUUAUGUUGAAGAAAUUUUAUGAAAUGAAAUCUUACGGUGCUCUCAGCUCUCUUCGUGUAGUUUUCAAGAACCCGAUGCCACGAAAC